CCAAAGGUUCUUUUAAGAACCACCAAUAUACCAAUUUCUGCAUAU
rfam:Strongylocentrotus purpuratus Contig109801_fixed, whole genome shotgun sequence.